AUUUCAAGUCAAUAACUUUCCACUUUUAUAUAUAUACACCAAAUAAAUAAAUAAAUAAAUAAAUAUAUAUAUAUAUAUAUAGAGAGAGAGAGAGUCCGGCUAUUAUACUUUUAUGAGUAUAUUGGCUCUCUUAUACUUAAAAAUUUCGGCCUUUAGAUUUAUUUUAUUAAUCAUUUCCACCCGUUACAUCAUACUAUUCAACAAACUACCCACUCAACCCUAGUAGGGGAUCAUUAUUAUUCUAAGUGAGGACCACCAUCAACCUAACCAUACAUCCCACAAUCAACAGUUAAAAAUUCAUGAGUACAAGAAGGACUAUACUCAUAAGAGUACAGUAGCUCCAACUUAUAUAUAUGAUAAUGGGGAAUAUAGAAUUGAGCUAGAGUACUUUUAGAAGUAUCAUCUUUUUGGUGCGUCUAAAUUUUUAGCCCUUGGAUCUUCUCCUUGAUUACUAAUAGCCUUUAGAUCAAGCACUAUUCGACCUACCACCACCUAUCGCCACCUACCACCAUCAUCUCAACUCUAUAUCUCUCCAUCCAAAAGCUAAAAACUCAAAAGCACCACCCCUUUAGUGCUUUUGGAAGUAUUCUAGCCCAACUCUGAUAAUGACUAUGAUAAUGGUGUUUCUUUUCAAUAUUUUUUCUAUUGAAUCCAGAGU
rnacentral:lncRNA from 1 species